rnacentral:lncRNA from 1 species
AUGUUCCUUAUACACCUCCAAAAGGUACUCCAUCACCUGGCAAUCAACCUCCGUAUGUUCCAGUUACACCAUCUCCUGUUCACACCCCUCCUACUGUUCCUUAUACUCCACCAAAAGCUCCUUCUCCUGGAAAUGAACCACCAUAUGUACCAAUUAUAACACCACCAAAAACACCUUCUCCUGUACACACCCCUCCUAGUGUUCCAUAUACUCCACCAAAAUCUCCUUCUCCUGGGAAUGAGCCACCGUAUGUACCAAUUAUACCACCAAAAACACCUUCUCCUAUUCAUACCCCUCCUAGUGUUCCUUAUACUCCACCAAAAGCUCCUUCUCCUGGAAACGAGCCACCAUAUGUACCAAUAAUACCACCACCAAAAAUCCCUUCUCCUAUUCGCACCCCUCCUAGUGUUCCAUACACUCCACCAAAAGCGCCUUCUCCUGGGAAUGAGCCUCCAUAUGUACCAAUUACACCACCAAAAACACCUUCUCCAAUUCACACUCCUCCAAAAACUCCUUCUCCUGGGAAUGAGCCGCCAUAUAUACCAAUUACACCACCAAAAACACCUCCAAUUCAAACACCUCCUAUUCACACCCCUCCUAGUGUUCCAUACACUCCACCAAAAGCUCCUUCUCCUAGGAAUGAGCCGCCAUAUGUACCAAUUACACCACCAAAAACACCUUCUCCAAUUCACACUCCACCAAAAACUCCUUCUCCUAUUCAUACCCCUCCUAGUGUUCCUUAUAGUCCCCCAAAAGCACCUUCUCCUGGGAACCAACCACCGUAUGUACCGAUUACACCACCAAAAACACCAUCUCCUAUUCACACUCCUCCUAGUGUUCCUUAUACUCCCCCAAAAGCACCUUCUCCUGGGAACCAACCACCGUACGUACCAAUUACACCACCAAAAACACCAUCUCCUAUUCACACUCCUCCUAGUGUUCCUUAUUCUCCUCCAAAAACACCUUCUCCUGGUAAUCAACCACCAUAUGUCCCAAUUACACCACCAAAAAGUCCUUCUCCUAUUCAUACCCCUCCUAAUGUUCCUUAUACUCCACCAGAAACUCCUUCUCCUAGCAAUCAACCACCCUAUGUACCAAUUACACCACCAAAAACCCCUUCUCCUAUACACGCCCCUCCGAAUGUUCCUUAUACUCCUCCAGAAGCUCCUUCCCCUAAAAAUCAACCACCUAAUGUUCCAAUUACACCUCCAAAAACUCAUCCCCCUACUUCCAAUCCCAUUCCUCCUAGUAUUGCUCCUUACACUCCCCCUGAAACUCCAUCCCCUAGAAAUCAACCACCAUAUACGCCAAAUCCUCCUAAAACCCCUUCUCCAAUCUCUCAACCACCCUAUGUACCAAUUACACCACCAAAAUCUCCUUCACCUAUUCACACCCCUCCUAAUGUUCCUUAUACACCUCCAACAACUCCUUCCCCUAGCAACCACCCUCCAAAUGUUCCAACAACACCCUCUCCUAUUUCUCAACCUCCAUAUGUUCCAACACCUCCAAAAACACCUUCUCCGAGUUCUCAAGCACCUUACAUUGAAUCACCUCCCAAUACUCCAAUAGCUCCUUCCCCAAGCAAUCACCCUCCAAAUGUACCAACACCUCCAAAAACUCCUUCUCCCAUUUCUCAAGCCCCUUACAUUCAAACACCACCAAACACACCUUCACCAACAUCACAACCACCAUACACUCAAACUCCUCGAAGCACUCCUUCUUCACCAACAUCGCAACCACCUUACAUUUCAACACCUCCAGAGAGUACUCCUUCUCCAUCUUCUCACACACCUCGAGGUGCUCUUUCUCCAAUUUCACAACCUCCAUAUAUUCAAACACCACCAAACUCACAUUCACCAACAUCUCAACCACCUUACAUUAAACCACCACCAAACACCUCUUCUCCAUCAUCUUCCCCGUCAUCAGCACAAACUCCUUCCGAAAGUGGAAUAACACCGUCUCCACUAUCUCCGUAUCCAUCCAACAACUCAACAUCGCCUUCAAUUUCACCUUCGG